rnacentral:rRNA from 1 species
CCGGGGCUUAGUGCCGGAGCUAACGCAAUAAGCACUCCGCCUGGGGAGUACGACCGCAAGGUUGAAACUCAAAGGAAUUGACGGGGGCCCGCACAAGCGGUGGAGCAUGUGGUUUAAUUCGAAGCAACGCGAAGAACCUUACCAGGUCUUGACAUCCCGAUGCUAUUCUUAGAGAUAGGAAGUUACUUCGGUACAUCGGAGACAGGUGGUGCAUGGUUGUCGUCAGCUCGUGUCGUGAGAUGUUGGGUUAAGUCCCGCAACGAGCGCAACCCUUAUUGUUAGUUGCCAUCAUUAAGUUGGGCACUCUAGCGAGACUGCCGGUAAUAAACCGGAGGAAGGUGGGGAUGACGUCAAAUCAUCAUGCCCCUUAUGACCUGGGCUACACACGUGCUACAAUGGUCGGUACAACGAGUUGCGAGCCGGUGACGGCAAGCUAAUCUCUGAAAGCCGAUCUCAGUUCGGAUUGGAGGCUGCAACUCGCCUCCAUGAAGUCGGAAUCGCUAGUAAUCGCGGAUCAGCACGCCGCGGUGAAUACGUUCCCGGGCCUUGUACACACCGCCCGUCACACCACGAGAGUUUGUAACACCCGAAGUCGGUGAGGUAACCUUUUAGGGGCCAGCCGC